CGUGUGUUCCUACGUCACUGAGCCUCCAGAAACAAAUACCUCACAAAGACACAGAUGAAUUUCACUGGUGGUUACAGAUACUCAGAUCUGCACCAGUGUGUGUUUGGGAUGCGGGAUGCUCGGCCACAUAAGUAAACAACGCUAAAAGUCAGCACCACCAGCGGGACGAGAUAU